rnacentral:rRNA from 1 species
CCCUUAGAUGUCCGGGGCCGCACGCGCGCUACACUGAAGGAAUCAGCGUGGCUUUCUCCCUGACCCGAAAGGGUUGGGAAACCCGUUGAAUCUCCUUCGUGAUAGGGAUUGGGGCUUGAAAUUGUUCCCCCUGAACGAGGAAUUCCCAGUAAGCGCGAGUCAUAAGCUCGCGUUGAUUACGUCCCUGCCCUUUGUACACACCGCCCGUCGCUACUACCGAUUGAACGGUUUAGUGAGGGCCUCGGAUUGGUCUCGGCCCGCUCUUUACCGGGCGGCGCCGUUGGUCGAGAAGACGCUCGAACUUGAUCGUUUAGAGGAAGUAAAAGUCGUAACA